UAGGUUGUUGUCUUUUGCUUUUUGCUUUUGUUUGAGUCCCUUUUGAUGGCUCACUGUUUCUAAUUACAAUCUGUGUAAACACUCAUUUCUUUUGUUUCUCGAGUUUUUUUAGGUAUCUGAUUAGUGUCAGUGUUAUUUUCUCGUCUGUUGUCAUUUUCCCAUUUAUGAUUGUAUUCCAUGGCUAUUGAUGAUGAAGGCAGUUUUACAAGUUAUGUAAAACAUAUGGUUUAAUUUUGUUCAAAUAUUCAUUUUAAGUUUUCCAUGAAGUUCCCAAACUCAUCACCUCAACAAGUAAAAGCACCCUUGGAAGAAAGAGAAUACCACAUCGACCAAAAUCAAAAGGGAGUAAACGUAUCUAUAGCCACUUGCCCGCCUUGUGGCUUGUCGGGCUUGGUAACGCGAGCUUGUUACCUGAGUGGGGGCUAUAAGGUGGUGGAACGCUGGUUUGGCUACUUCGGGUCCGGAUCUUGGGCGGUUGAUUUCUAGAUUGACCUAUCGUGCUGGUUGAGCCAGGGAUUAGAAAUACUACUUCGGGUCAGGAUCUUGGGUGGUUGAUCUCUGGAUUGACCUAUCGUGCUGGUUGAGCCAGAGUGGAACAUUUGGCUGUUUAGUCCUUGGCUCUCCUCCCAUUUGGCUGUUUAGUCCUUGGCUCUCCUCCAAGCUAUCUUCUAUACCAGUAGCAGAUGAAUCAAUCUCCCAACCAGUACGCUUUCUCUUUUAUUUAAAAAGGGAUAAAAGGAGCUUUUCCUUUUUCCAUCUUCUUCCGAAUGGGUCUCCAGGUUCAUGGACUAUUUGUGUAGUUAAAAUGAUAAUUAAAUCAUCUUUAGUGAAAGUAUAAAAGAAAACUAAAAAAGAGUUGAAAACCCAAA